CAAUUGUGCCUUGCGAGGAUGAUGCUCCAGCAGCCUCUAUGUGCUUUCCGCCAAGCCAAAGCUUGGAACCUACAACUACGAAAAAGAGAAAACAUGAUAACUCAAUUACUGGAGCAUCAAAAAGCCAAAUGUUGGAGAAAACAA